AUACUUUGAUGUAAAAGUUUUCAAAGAAAUGCUUUGGGCAGAAGAGACUCAUGGAAACUGAGUGGUCUUGAACUCCUGGCCUCAAGUAAUCUUCCCCACUGGGCUUCCCAAAGUGCUGGGACUACAGAGUGGCUGAAAGUUUCAAGAUUGGGUAUCUGCAUCUGAUAAUGGCCUCUGGCUGCUUUAACUCAUGGCUGAAAGAGAACCGGGAAUCUGCAUGUGCAAAGAAAUCACAUGGCAAGAAAGGAAGCAAGAGAGAGAAACCAAGGAAGCCAGAUUGUUUUUAAUAAUCUGCUCUCUGACAAACUAUUUCAUUCCCUGGAGAGCAAGAAUUCACUCAUUCAUUCCCUCUGAAGGGCAUUAAUCUAUUCACGAAGGAUCCACCCUCCUGUCCCAAACACCUCUCACUAGGCUCAGUCUUUCAAUGCUGCCACAUUGGGGAUCAAAUUUCAACAUGAGCUUUGACUGGGAAAGAAAGACCAAGCUAUAGCAAUGGUCAGUUGAUCUUUGACAAAGGUGCCAAGAACACACAAAAGGAAAAGACAGUCUUUUCAAUAAAUAAUGUUGAGAAUUCUCAUAUAUCCACAUGCAGAAGAAUGAAAUUGGACACUCAUUUCAUUUCAUAUACAAAAAUCAACUCAAAAUGAUGAAUCAAAGGUCUAACACUUAAUAUAAAACUGUAUAGCUACUGGAAGAAGGCUUAGAGAAAAAUGACUUGAUACUAGUCUAAGCACUAAUUUGGGAGGUAUGACUCCAAAAGUACAGGCAACAAAAGCAAAAAUAGAUAUAUGGGAUUGCCUCAAACUAAAAAGCAUCUGCACUAAAAAAGAAACAAUCAACAGAGUGAAGAGACACUCUACAAAAUAGGAGAAAAUAUUUCAAAUCAUGGGUUCAAUAAGGGGUUAAUAUUCAAAAUGUAUAAAGAAUUCAACUAAAUGGCAAGAAAACAAAUAACCCAAUUUAAAAAAUGGGAAAUAGAACUGGGUAGACAUAUGUACAAGGACCCCUUGUACAUUGUUGUUGGAAAUGUCAGUUAGUAUAUCCAUUAUGGAAAACAGUAUGGAGUUUCCUCAAAAAAUUAAAAAUGGAACUACCAGAUGAUUCAGCAAUACCACUUCUAGGUAUCUAUCCAAAGGAAACAAAGUCAGUAACGUGAAGAGAUAUCUGUACUCGCAUAUUCAUUGCAGCAGUAUUCACAAUAGCCAAGAUAUGGAAUCAAACUGUUUGUCAGCUGGAUAAAUGGAUAAAGAAAAUUUGGUGUGUGUGUGUGUAUCUACACACACACACACACACAAACACACACAAUGGAAUAUUAUUAAGCCUCCAGAAAGAAGAAAAUCCUGUCAUUGGUGACAACAUUGAUGAACCUGGAGGUCCUUACACUGAAUGAAAUAAGUCAGACAAAUACUGCAUAAUCUUGCUUAUAUGUAGAAACUAAGAAAGUUAAACCCCUAGAAGUGGAUAGUAGAGUGGUGGUUAUGAGGAGCUGGGGAUAUAGAUGAAAGGGGAUGGAGAUGGGGAGAACAGGGAGAUAUUGGUGAAAGGUUACAAAGUUUCAGUUAUGCAGGAUGAAUAAGUUCUGGAGAUCUAAUAUUAAGUGCGGUGACUAUAGUUAAUAAUACUGUGUACUCGAAAUUUGCUAAGACAGAUCUUAAACAUGCUCACCAUAGAGAAAAAAUAAAUGGUAACUAUGUGAGGUAAUGAUUACGUUACUUAGCUUUUGUUAAUUGUUUAAAAAUGCAUACAUAUAUCAAAACAUCAUGUUGUACAUCUUAAAUACAUAUGAUUUUUCCUUUUCAACUGUACCUCAAUACAACCUUACAAAAGAGAAAAAAACAUAAAAUAAGAGAGUUGGAAUUCUUCCCAAAUUAUUUAAUGAGGCUAGUGUAAUUUUUCUCUCAAAACCUGACAAAAGACAGGUGGCAGAGGUUGCAGUGAGCUGAGAUCGCGCCACUGCACUCCAGCUUGGGUGAUGGAGCAAAACUCCAUCUCAAAGAAAAAAAAAAAAAAACCUGACAAAAAGUGUUAAAAAAUAAAGAUUAAUCUCAAAAAUACAAAACAUUUAAUGAACUAAAGCAAAUGGAAAGCAGCAACAUAUAAAAAUUUUAAUUCAUCAAGACCAAGUAAGGCUCAUGCCUAGAAUGUAAGCAUAAUUUAACAUUUAAAAGUCAAUUGGCAUAAUUUACCACACUAAAAUAAUAAAUAAGAAAAAUUACAUGAUCAUCUCAAUAGUUGGAGUAAAAACAUUUGACUAAUUCAACACCCAUUUAUGCAAAAACUAUCAGUAAACUAGGAGUAGAAAUAAGUUCCUCAAUCUGACAAAAGCUAACUAUGAAAACCUUCAGUUAAUACUAUAUUUAUUGAUGAAAUAUUGAAAAAUUUCCUCCAAAAAUACAAAGCAAGAGAGUUACAUUAAAUAUUUUACUAGAGGCCCCAGACAGUGCAAUAAUAAAAGAAAAAUUAAAAGGAACAAGUACUGGGAAGCAAGAACUAAAACUGUCUCUCGUCAUUGAAAAUAUAGAAAAUCCUAGGAAACUAAAAAAAAAAAAAACAAAAAAAACACAGAACACUAGUUAUAAGUGAGUUUAUUGAGGAUAUGAUGGGA